CCUACGGGUGGCAGCAGUGGGGAAUAUUGCACAAUGGGCGAAAGCCUGAUGCAGCAACGCCGCGUGAAGGAAGAAGGGUUUCGGCGCGGAAACUUCUAUCAACAGGGACGAAAGAAAUGACGGUACCUGAAUAAGAAGCCACGGCUAACUACGUGCCAGCAGCCGCGGUAAAACGUAGGGGGGAAGCGUGAUCCGGAAGUACUGGGUGUAAAGGGUGAGUGGGCGGCAUGGUAAGCCAGAUGUGAAAGCCUUGGGCUUAACCCGAGGACUGCAUUUGGAACUAGCAAGCUAGAGUACAGGAGAGGAAAGCGGUAUUCGGGGUGUAGCGGUGAAAUGCGUAGAUAUUAGGAAGAACCCCAGUGGCGAAGGCGGCUUUCUGGACUGAAACUGACGCUGAGGCACGAAAGCGUGGGGAGCGAACAGGAUUAGAUACCCUAGUAGUC
rnacentral:rRNA from 1 species